ensembl:lncRNA
CAGAGUUCGACAAGUGGAUUCAAUCCAAGCAUUCAAUCAGGAUUUAUAUUUUUUCAUUUUUGCCACAUACAUUUGAAACUUGUUUAAUAAAGUGUAAAAAAGAAAACAGAAUGGAUUUGGGAAGGAGAAAAUCUGCAUGUUUCUUUAUUUUGGUUGCCUUUCAAUUGGCUUCCACCUCGAUGACCGUAUCAGCGGAAUCCAGCACCAGCAUGUCACCAACCACUGGUGCAUCAACAUCAGCCGUUGGUUCUACAACAACAGCUGAUGUUUCUACAACCACUGGAGGGUCAACAAACGCUGGAGGAUCAACAACCACUGGAGGACCAGCAACCCCCGGAGGUUCAUCCACAACUGCAGCACCAACAACCACUGGAGGAUCAACAACCACUGAAGGGUCAACAACCACAGAAGGGUCGACAGCUACAGGAGGAUCGACAGCCCCUGGAGGAUCCACAACAACCGGAGCAUCAUCAACAACGCAAGAAACUCCAGCUAUUACUACCAGUUCUCCAACAACUACUGCUGGAUUAUCAACUACCACAGGAGGUUCAACCAUCACAAUUGGAUCAACAAUUGGUGGAUCAACAACCAUAGGAGUAACAACAACCACUGGAGAAUCAACGACUGGAGAAUCAACAAUCACUGCAGGACCAACCAACUCUGGGGGUUCAACCAUCACUACUGGAUCAACAACUGGUGGAUCAACAACCACUGCAGGAUCCACAACAACCGGAACAUCAUCAACAACGCAAGAAACUCCAGCUAUUGCUACCAGUUCUCCAACAACUACUGCUGGAUUAUCAACUGCCACUGGAGGUUCAACCAUCACAAUUGGAUCAACAAUUGGUGGAUCAACAACCAUGGGAGUAACAACAACCACUGGAGAAUCAACGACUGGAGAAUCAACAAUCACUGGAGGACCAAUCACCACUGGAGGUUCAACCAUCACUACUGGAUCAACAACUGGUGGAUCAUCAACCACUGGAGGAUCCACAUCAACCGGAACAUCAUCAACAACGCAAGAAACUCCAGCUAUUGCUACCAGUACUCCAACAACUACUGCUGGAUUAUCAACUACCACUGGAGGUUCAACCAUCACUACUGGAUCAACAACUGGUGGAUCAACAACCACUGGAGGAUCCACAUCAACCGGAACACCAUCAACAACGCAAAAAACUCCAGCUAUUGCUACCAGAUCUCCAACAACUACUGCUGGAUUAUCAACUACCACUGGAGGUUCAACCAUCACGAUUGGAUCAACAAUUGGUGGAUCAACAACCAUAGGAGUAACAACAACCACUGGAGAAUCAACGACUGGAGAAUCAACAAUCACUGGAGGACCAACCACCACUGGAGGUUCUACCAUCAUUACUGGAUCAACAACUGGUGGAUCAACAACUGGAGGAUCCACAUCAACCGGACCAUCAUCAACAACGCAAGAAACUCCAACUAUUACAACAACUACCAGUUCUCCAACAACUACUGCUGGAUUAUCAACCACCACUGGAGGUUCAACCAUCACUACUGGAUUAACAAUUGGUGGAUCAACAACAAUAGGAGGAACAAUCACCACUGGAGGUUCAACCAUCACUACUGGAUCAACAACUGGUGGAUCAAUAACAACUGGAGGAUCCAUAACAACUGGAGCAUCAUCAUCAACCACACGAGAAACUCAGACUAUUACAACAACUACCAGUUCUCCAACCACUACUGCUGGAUUAUCAACUACCACUGGAGGAUCAACAACCACUCGAGGAUCCACAACGACUACAGGACCAACAACAACUGCAGAAUCAACAACCACUGGAGGAUCAACCAUCACUACUGGAUCAACAAUUGGUGGAUCAACAACCAUAGUAGGCAUUAUCACCACUGGAAGUUCAACCAUCACUACUGGAUCAACAACUGGUGGAUCAAUAACAACUGGAGGAUUCACAACAACUGGAGCAUCAUCAUCAACAACACAAGAAACUCCAACUAUUACAACAACUACCAGUUCUCCAACCACUACUGCUGGAUUAUCAACUACCACUGGAGGAUCAACAACCACUCGAGGAUCCACAACGACUGCAGGACCAACAGCAACUGCAGAAUCAACAACCACUGGAGGAUCAACAACCACUGGAGGAUCAACAACCACUGGAGGAUCAACAACCACUGGAGGGUCAGCAACCACUGGAGUAUCAACGACCACUGCAGUACCAACAACCACUGGAGGAUCAACCAUCACUACUGGAUCAACAAUUGGUGGAUCAACAACCAUAGUAGGCAUUAUCACCACUGGAAGUUCAACCAUCACUACUGGAUCAACAACUGGUGGAUCAAUAACAACUGGAGGAUUCACAACAACUGGAGCAUCAUCAUCAACAACACAAGAAACUCCAACUAUUACAACAACUACCAGUUCUCCAACAACUACUGCUGGAUUAUCAACUACCACUGGAGGAUCAACAACCACUCGAGGAUCCACAACGACUGCAGGACCAACAGCAACUGCAGAAUCAACAACCACUGGAGGAUCAACAACCACUGGAGGAUCAACAACCACUGGAGGAUCAACAACCACUGGAGGGUCAGCAACCACUGCAGUACCAACAACCACUGGAGGAUCAACAACCACUGAAGUACCAACAACAACUGGAGAAUCAACAACCACUGGAGGAUCAACAACCACUGGAGGAUCAACAACCACUGGAGGGUCAACAACCACUGCAGUACCAACAACCACUGGAGGAUCAACAACCACUGAAGUACCAACAACCACUGGAGAAUCAACAACCACUGGAGGGUCAACCAUCCCUACUGAAUCAAUAACUGGUGGAUCAACAACAACUGGAGCAUCAUCAUCAACAACACAAGAAACUCCAACUAUUACAACAACUACCAGUUCUCCGACCACUACUGCUGGAUUAUCAACUACCACUGGAGGAUCAACAACCACUCGAGGAUCCACAACGACUGCAGGACCAACAGCAACUGCAGAAUCAACAACCACUGGAGGAUCAACAACCACUGGAGGAUCAACAACCACUGGAGGGUCAGCAACCACUGCAGUACCAACAACCACUGGAGGAUCAACAACCACUGAAGUACCAACAACAACUGGAGAAUCAACAACCACUGGAGGAUCAACAACCACUGGAGGAUCAACAACCACUGGAGGGUCAGCAACCACUGCAGUACCAACAACCACUGGAGGAUCAACAACCACUGAAGUACCAACAACCACUGGAGAAUCAACAACCACUGGAGGGUCAACCAUCCCUACUGAAUCAAUAGCUGGUGGAUCAACAACAACUGGAGCAUCAUCAUCAACAACACAAG